rnacentral:rRNA from 1 species
AUUGAACGCUGGCGGCAUGCCUUACACAUGCAAGUCGAACGGUAACGCGGGGGCAACCCUGGCGACGAGUGGCGAACGGGUGAGUAAUACAUCGGAACGUACCUGGUAGUGGGGGAUAGCCCGGCGAAAGCCGGAUUAAUACCGCAUACGCACUACGGUGGAAAGCGGGGGACCGCAAGGCCUCGCGCUAUCAGAGCGGCCGAUGGCAGAUUAGCUAGUUGGUGGGGUAAAAGCCUACCAAGGCGACGAUCUGUAGCUGGUCUGAGAGGACGACCAGCCACACUGGGACUGAGACACGGCCCAGACUCCUACGGGAGGCAGCAGUGGGGAAUUUUGGACAAUGGGGGAAACCCUGAUCCAGCGAUGCCGCGUGUGUGAAGAAGGCCUUCGGGUUGCAAAGCACUUUUGUUCGGGAAGAAAUCUGUCGGGCUAAUACCCUGGCGGGAUGACGGUACCGGAAGAAUAAGCACCGGCUAACUACGUGCCAGCCGCCGCGGUAA